GGUGUUCGCUUUGAUAUUUUUGAUGUUUUUAUUUUCUAGACACUCCGACAAAAUCAAGAUGUCAUGGUUGAAAAACAAGUUCUACUUUAAAUGCAAGUUAGCAAUGUGGCAGACAAAGAGUCGAAUCGAGAUGGUAAAAGAGAAUAGGAAGACAAAGAAGAAAUAUUUGGAGAUUGACAUAGAGGACCUCCUAAAAAGUGAAUUGGAUGUCAACACCUGUGACAUGGCAGAUUAAUAGAUUUGAAGAACGUGGAUGC